UCAUUUCUUUUUCAUUUGUAACCCGCGUCUUUCUUCUUACUGAUCGAUAUUAACGUCAUAUGUGUUAUGACAGAUGAAGAGUUAGGACAGUAUUUCGUCAGAUAUGGAGUCCGACUUGCACUCAGAGCAUUUUGUCAAUGCAGAAGCCUGACAGACUAAAACCAGGGUGGAAGUGAGAUGUUAAAGACACGCUUAUGCUACGUAUCAGAGAAAGGUGCAGGAACGAACUGAGAGCUAAUACCGACCGUGGCACUAUUAGAACUAAAGGUGCCGUCAAAGUCACGCGCCAUCUUGAAAUGGGGUGGCUCCACUUUCAGAGCGGCUCGUAUCAAGUCAGAGCAAGAGGUGGAGGUGGAACAUGGCACUUGUCUGUUGACAAAACAACAAUGGCGGUGCUGCUAGAGACAGGCAAAGACUUGUUUUUUUCCAAAUGGACGUUCGCUCAAAGGACCAUGUGAAGACUUUGAUGUACAUGAUUAUAGUAAUAAUUGAGUGGCUUGUGGUGUCACUGUUGGUUAGCUAUACGAGCAAAGUAAACUAGCCAUGCUGCGCAUUUACACAAGCUCCAAAACCAAAGUAAUACAGCUCUCUGAUUUAUCCUCGGACACCGACCCCACAGAUGAUCCACCAAUGAAAAGACGAUCUUUGAGGAGACUGUCUUACAGACAUCAGCACAGCAGGACUAGAAACAACCAAGUGGCUCACUCAGAAAUUUCCUUUGCUCUAGAUCCAGCUCUCACUUGCUCAAUAAGCAUCCCCUGAUGAUGAUGUACAGUUUAGACCAAUUACUGGCGAUGAUGAUGACCAAGACUCCACCCUUCCCUCCUGGAAUCCAUAUGAGUACGCUACAGCAAAUGAGGAGCCUCUGUCAUCGAGCAAUGGUGCAGCAUCAUCAGACCCCAAUAAGAGACAAGUCCUUGUAAAUUUAAGACGUGCAAACAUAGUUGAUGAUUGAAAGGCUUUGAAAAAGUGAUGUUAACUUCUUUCAAGCACCAUUUGCACAUUUAGCAUGUUUUUAUUGCUCCUUUUAUACAAUUGUUCACUCGGCACUUAAAAAUAAAUGUUUGAUACAAAUACAA